rnacentral:rRNA from 1 species
AAUAUUGCACAAUGGGGGAAACCCUGAUGCAGCGACGCCGCGUGAGCGAAGAAGGCCUUCGGGUCGUAAAGCUCUGUCCUAAGGGAAGAAACGGACGGUACCUUAGGAGGAAGCCCCGGCUAACUACGUGCCAGCAGCCGCGGUAAUACGUAGGGGGCGAGCGUUAUCCGGAAUUACUGGGCGUAAAGGGUGCGUAGGCGGCCUUUUAAGUCAGAUGUGAAAGGCUAAGGCUUAAACGUAAGUAGCAUUUGAAACUAAAAGGCUUGAGUGCAAGAGAGGAGAGUGGAAUUCCUAGUGGAGGCGUGAAAUGCCUAAAUAAUAGGAGGAAAACCAGGUGGGAAGGCGACUUUCUGGACUGCAACUGAAGCUGGGGCAAGAAAGCGUGGGGAGCGAAC